GUUUCUGUAGUGUAGUGGUUAGCACGUUUCGCCUAACACGCGAAAGGUCCCUGGUUCGAAACCGGCAGAAACA
rnacentral:tRNA from 1 species